AGGCAUCACGUUUGGAGCAGCAGCAAAGUCCGACUGAUUAUUUCUGGACAAACACAUUGGCUUCCCCUUCCUGUCAUAAGUUGAAGCCUAAAACACAGAAUCAAUUUUAAAUUUCAGUUUUUCGCGCUCUUCCUCUGUUUUUCCCUGUAACCACAAAUUCAGCCUAUGGGAUAAUGGAAGAAGUUGACGAAACAGAGGCCACACCUCAGGUCUAUAUGGCUUGUAUCAUGCAAGGUCAUAGAAUUGGAGUUUCAUACUAUGAUUCCAGUAUCCGACAGCUGUACGUGCUUGAGUUCUGGGAAGAUGGAAGUGAAGAUUUCCCGUUGGUAGAUAUGAUAAUAUAUCAAGCCAAACCAUCCAUCAUUUACACAAGCACAAAAAGUGAGGAGCUGUUCUUGGCUGCUUUACAAAAAAAUGACGGAACAAGUAAUGCAGCUACUGUAAAGCUUGUCAAGAGUUCAUUAUUCAGCUACGAGCAAGCAUGGCAUAGAUUAAUGUACCUUCGGGUCACAGGGAUGGAUGAUGGGUUGAACAUAAAGGAAAGAAUGUCUUUUCUGAACUCCAUGAUGGACAUUCAAAGUGAGGUCCAAGUUCGUGCAACUGGAGGGCUUCUUGCGGUUCUAGAGAAUGAAAGGAUUAUAGGCACCCUUGAACAGAAGGAGUGUGGAAGUGCAUCCAUUGCUGUUGACUCAGUCAUUGAAAUCUCACUAAACAAGUUUCUCAAAGUUGACUCGGCUGCACAUGAGGCAUUGCAAAUAUUCCAAAUUGACAAACAUCCAAGCCACAUGGGGAUUGGCAGGGCAAAAGAAGGGUUCUCUUUAUUUGGAAUGAUGAAUAAGUGUGUAACACCAAUGGGCAGACGUCUUUUGAGGAACUGGUUUUUGAGGCCUAUACUGGACAUUGAGAAACUGAACAAGCGUUUUGAUGCUAUAACAUUCUUCCAUUCUGCUGAAGAACUUUUGGCCUCUCUGCGUGAAACACUGCAGUCCAUAAAAGAUAUUCCUCACAUACUCAAGAAGUUCAAUUCUCCAAGUUCUUUGUGCACAAGUAGCGACUGGAAAGCUUUUGUAAAGAGCAUUUGUUCUCUCUUGCACAUAAACAAAAUAUUUGAAGUUGGCAUUUCAGAAAAUCUUCAAGAAGAAUUGAAGUAUUUGAACUUGGACAUUGUUGAACAGGUUGAAUUUUACCUAUCUGCGGAUCUGGCAUAUGUCUAUGAAUUGGUUGUUGGCGUUGUUGAUGUGAAUCGAAGUAAGGAUAAAGGUUAUGAGACUAUUGUUAAAGAUGGUUUUUGCGAUGAGUUGGAUGAGCUGAGGCAAAUAUAUGAGGAGUUGCCAGAGUUUUUGGAAGAGGUUUCAUCAGUGGAACUCACACGGCUGCCUUACAUGUCUGGAGACAAGUUCAUUCCUUGUAUUGUGUAUAUCCAUCAGAUAGGGUACUUGAUGUGCAUUUUCCAAGAAAAUCUUGACAAAAGCAUGCUGGAAAAACUUGAAGAUUAUGAAUUUGCUUUCUCCGAUGAGGAUGAGAAUACUAAGAAAUUUUUUUAUCGCACUGCAAAGACACGGGAAUUGGAUAGCCUUCUUGGAGAUCUAUAUCAUAAAAUAUUGGACAUGGAGAGAGCAAUCAUUGGGGACUUAGUUUCUCGGAUUCUUCAGUUCUCUUCACAUUUAAAACAAGCUGUUAAUUUUGUUGCUGAGCUUGAUUGUUUCUUGUCUUUAGCAUUGGUUGCUCGUCAGAACAAUUAUGUGAGGCCCAUUGUGACUGUUGAAAAUUUGCUUGAUAUACUAAACGGAAGACAUGUACUUCAAGAAAUGACAGUAGACACAUUCAUACCCAAUGAUACAAAGAUUCUGCAUGACGGAAGGGUUAAUAUCAUCACUGGCCCUAAUUAUUCAGGAAAAAGCAUCUACAUAAAGCAGGUCGCAUUGAUAGUUUUCCUUUCACAUAUUGGGAGUUUUGUACCUGCUGAUGCUGCUAUUGUGGGCUUGACGGAUAGGAUAUUUUGUGCAACUGGGAGCAAAUUCAUGACAGCUGAACAAUCAACAUUCAUGAUUGAUUUGCAUCAAGUGGGAGUGAUGCUAAGGCAUGCAACUUCUCGAUCAUUGUGCUUGUUAGAUGAAUUUGGGAAAGGCACGCUUACAGUAGAAAUGACACAAUUUAUUUCAGAUGGCGUUGGUCUUCUCGGUGGAACUAUAAACCAUUUUGUCUCGUGCUAUGAUCCUCCUAAGGUUUUUAUCUGUACUCAUUUGACUGAGCUAUUUGACAAUAGCUGUUUACUGGAGCUUGACAACUUUCAGUGUGACAAGGUCAAGUAUUACACCAUGAGCGUGCUGAAUCCAGACAAUAAAGAGAAUGAUAUUGAAGAUAUAGUGUUUUUGUAUAGGUUGGUUCCUGGACGUGCAGCUCUUAGCUAUGGUCUACAUUGUGCACUUCUUGCUGAGAGGCUACUUGUAGGUAUUAACUGUAUCCAAUCAUGCUAGGAGUAUUCGAGGGAGUCAUAAAAAGAGCAUCUCUUGUGUUGGAUGCUAUUCAAGACAACAAGCACAUUGAGCGACUAAGCAAUGAGAAUAUAUCUGCUCAGGAUCAGCAAUACAAGAAUGCAGUGGACAAAGUGUUAGCUCUUGAUGCCCUCAAGGACGAUCUAUCUGUCUUCUUUCAAGACGUUUUUCCUUAAGCGCAACAUAAUUCCUAAUGCUUUUCUGGAUCGUGCGCAUUCUAUGGCUGCAUUGCUGUGAAUUCUGUUCUUUUCGGAUUGUUAUUCAGCAGAUAUUUGUUUUGAAUAACGGGAACUUGGGCAUAUGCUUCUGUAGGAGUUAUAAGCGGAGAACCAAAUAUUAGUGUAGCAUUCUAUGUCUGUUCAAAAAUGCUUCUCACAAAUAUCCUCAUUUAACUUCGAGGAUAAUCUGUUCUUUUUCGAGUUGAAGGUCAUUUUAUUGUUGUCGUUGCGCUCAACUCACUGAUGAAAUUGUCUCAUUAUCUUGUAAGUAUAGCCACAUAUGGAUGAUGAAAUAAACAUUUAUUGUUAAUUUGGUAUGC